AACCGUCGCGAUUUCACUACCAUUUUUUCGAUAAAGCAGUAAUCGUUGCUGACAUUACACAAACCACCCUACGCUUCACAAACCUCACGUGCAUUUACUACUUGAAAUGCGUGUGAUAGGGCGAGUCUUAUCUGCAAAUGUUCUCUCUCACUGUAUCGCAAAAGUACGACCUGUUAUCAUAAUAAUGUAUGCACCACAAAGAGUUUUUUUCCAUUUUUCCAUGCACAACACAAACCGUAAAAGAAAUUAAGGUGCCUUUGACGAGAUAUUUAAAAAAUUUAUUUCACACAAGAUGGACUUUUUCAAGUAGCCU